rnacentral:rRNA from 1 species
UCCGUAGGGUGCAAUCGUUGUUCGGAAUCAUUGGGCGUAAAGCGCGUGUAGGCUGUUAGUUAAGUCGGGUGUGAAAUCCCUGAGCUCAACCGAGGAAGUGCAUCCGAAACUAGCUAGCUGGAGAGUGGUAGAGGGAGGUGGAAUUCCUAGUGUAGAGGUGAAAUUCGUAGAUAUUAGGAGGAAUACCGGUGGCGAAGGCGGCCUCCUGGGCCAUUUCUGACGCUGAGACGCGAAAGCGUGGGGAGAAAACAGU